CCUACGGGAGGCAGCAGUGAGGAAUAUUGGUCAAUGGGCGCGAGCCUGAACCAGCCAAGUAGCGUGAAGGAUGACUGCCCUACGGGUUGUAAACUUCUUUUAUAUAGGAAUAAAGUGAGGCACGUGUGCCUUUUUGUAUGUACUUUAUGAAUAAGGUUCGGCUAACUCCGUGCCAGCAGCCGCGGUACUACGGAGGAUCCGAGCGUUAUCCGGAUUUAUUGGGUUUAAAGGGAGCGUAGAUGGGUUGUUAAGUCAGUUGUGAAAGUUUGCGGCUCAACCGUAAAAUUGCAAUUGAUACUGGCAGCCUUGAGUACAGUAGAGGUAGGCGGAAUUCGUGGUGUAGCGGUGAAAUGCUUAGAUAUCACGAAGAACUCCGAUUGCGAAGGCAGCUUACUGGACUGCCACUGACACUGAGGCUCGAAAGUGUGGGUAUCAAACAGGAUUAGAUACCCUUGUAGUC
rnacentral:rRNA from 1 species